rnacentral:misc_RNA from 1 species
CAUAUUUUUUUAUGAUCUUUAAGAGAGACUAAAGGAACUGCCAGUGCAGUGAAUUGUAUGCUGUAUAAAUUUAACCCUUCAAAUUUUGAUUUCUUUCACUUUUAUUUUCUUCCUUUACGGAUACCUCGUCCAGCACAUCUCUUAAAUUCUGCCGGUAGCUCUAGUUAUUAUAAUUUGCAUUAUUUAAAAGCAAUGACUUCUAGCAAACUUGCUCGGGUGAUCAUCGAUACCGAUGCAGGUAUCGAUGAUGCGGCCGCCAUCUUGAUGUUGUUGUCAGCCAACAAAAGAAGCCUUCUGCACAUGUCAGCCAUAACGACCGUGCACGGCAACACAGCUCUGCACAACGUCAACAAGAACGUGUUGCGGCUUCUGCACUGCGUUGACAUGCUCGGCCAGGUCGCUGUGCACAGCGGUUGCAGUACACCUUUAGUACAGCCGUACGGAGAACAGUCCGCUCAGCCGUACCACGGCAAGGACGGCUUUGGGGACACCAAUCUUCCCCAUCCCGAUCUCAACACACACCUUCAUCCCAUGCCGGCCGCCCUCAAAAUUGUUGAAGAGGUUAAUGCGUUCCCGGGUUCAGUGCAUUUGCUGGCUAUCGGGCCUCUGACGAACGUGGCCGUAGCCAAGAUGCUGGAGCCUCGUCUGCUGUACAGACUUGCCAGUCUACACAUCAUGGGCGGCAACACCACAGGACGUGGCAACAAAUCCACAUGUGGCGAGUUUAACUUCUUAUUCGAUGCGGAGGCGGCGCAGAACGUCCUCAGUAGCUGUGGACUGCCGUCCGACACGUCCACGUUUACAGACGGUGAAGGGAGUCUGUGUCCAGUUUUCAUAACGCCGCUGGAGACUUGCAUCCAGGCCGUCAACUUCCCGUUCAGCCUUCGUGAAGAAUAUGGGCGCCACGACACGCCCCAGGCGAAGCUCCUGAACCUGGCGCAGAAGGGCUGCCCCACGGAGGGAGAGUACCGACAGUGGGCGACCUUUGAUGAACUGGCCACCGCCCGCCUCAUCGACACCCUCGUCGGCGACGCAUUCUUGCCUCUUCAGGACCGGCACUCGUACAAGCCUCUGAGCACGGCCACCCUAGACUGCAACGUGACUGUCGAGCUGCAGGGUAGCCACACACGUGGCAUGAUGGUGCUGGACCGCAGGCAGGAGAUUCCGUACUCGAUCCCCGCGUCUCUGCUCACCGGCGUUAACGUAGAACUCUACAAGCGUUACCUCACCUCUGUGUUCACGUAAAUUGCCGUGAAAAUAUUCUAUGUGCGUUUCGUUUUAACGUAGUUGUGUUUGACAUGUUGUUAUUAAUGCUUUUUUGACGGUUUUUAUUAUUGCGUUUUAUGUUCUUGUUUUUAUGUUGGUAAUUUCGGUCAGUAUUUUUUUAAUUUUUGAAGAGAGACUCAAGUAACGCUGAUUCGCAUUUAAAGUCGCCACUCGCUUCCAUUCGCCACCAAACGUUUAGUUGACAAAUUGGGCGUAGAUUCAUAUGUUUUUCAGGACUGUGUUUUCCCUUAGGUAGUUUUUGUGCCUUUGGGUUGGGUUCUGGGUGCAUGCAUCGGGGUUUUAAAUUGUGGUUGAGUCUUAAUUGCUUAACAUUUUACAUUGUGUUUGGUUGGUAGAUAGAGUAUUGACUGAAUGGCGCUUACAGCGUUAAAGCUGUUAAUUGAGUGAUCUUCCUCUUUGUUGCUAGACUAUUUUGGAGUGAUGUUAGUUUUUUUUGUUGAUGAAUGAUGUUUUUUUUAUGUAGUUCUAUAAAAUUCCAUCAGCUUAAGCUCGCGGUAGAAGGUUAAUAUUAUUUCUCUCAUAUUUUUAUUUCACAUUUCAAUAACUUAAUGAAUACGGUCAAAAAAUUUGAUCCAAGUUUAGGCUUUCUUUGAACUAUCUGAUCUACUGAUGCGUAGACAAUUUCAUGAAUGACUUACUUUUGACUGCAAUUUUCUUUAAGGUAAGAAAGUGCCAAAAGCUCUCUGCAGCUUCUAUGAAAUUUAUUUUCCAUGCAAUAUUAUUGAAGGUAGAGGACUGGCUUAUGCAUGCGCUCGGCAGCUUUCCAUGCACCUGUCUUUCGUUGCAAUUCUAUUUUAAGUUAAGGCAAGGACAGAGCCACUGCUGCUUUUCAUGUAACCGCCUUACGUUGCAGCUUCAUUUUAUUUUAUAUGAGUAGCAUGUGCCCAGUAGCUUUUUAUUCUCGCAAGUCUUAUUCUUAGGAUAAUCCUUUCUUACUUUUGUUUUUAAUUGACAGUAAACCUUGAGUUUAUUUCA